ACUGUAGCUGAAUGUUCACUAUAGGGAUCUGAAAGAAACAUUGCUUAUUCAAGUAACAAAGAAAGAAAGAGAUAAGAAGUAAACAAAGAAGAGAUUUGAUAUAGCAUUAGUUUAAGAAAGAAAUUAUUGAUAAUUGUACCUUUUGUAUUAUGUUUUAUUGAGAUAGUUAUAUAUAUUAUAUGUUACUCGAAAGUUAAAGAUCUACAAAUAUAAUAUAAGUCGAUGUGGAAAAAUUGUUUAUUUAGGUAUUUAUAGUUGUGAAAUGCAUAACGAGUUAAUUGAUAGCUAGUUUUUUAGGAGAAAAGUAUUGCUUUAUUAGAGGUAUUCUAAUUUGGGUAAUGAGGGUAAUCUUUUUUACUUUGUAUAUAUUAAGAUACGUAUAAUAAGUUAACUGAAAAAAGCUUGUAAGUGGCUGAUUAGGAUAUAUUGUUAUAAAUAGAAGUCUUUUUAGUACGCAAUUUUUUAUAUAGAAAUUAUUUAUUUACUAGAUUUUAAUGAAUAUUUAUUUUUUUGUUAAUGAUUAUGAUAAAAUCAGUAGUAUAAGGGAAUUAAAGGGUUUUUAUUAUGAAUUACGUAGGGGAAAGUGUUUAUAAAGGAAUUAUAUAUUAUGAAUUCGGCAAUACAGGUUCCGACUGUUUAUCAAAAACAUUGUUUUUUGAAGAUAGUAUAAGAAAUAGAGCCUGCUCAAUGAUUUUAAAAUUAAAUAGCCGUGGUAUUUUGACCAUGCUAAGGUAGCAUAAUCAUUUGGUUUUUAAUUGAGAUCUAGAAUGAAGGGUUGAACGAGAACUUUGCUUUAUUAUAUAUAUAUAUAUGAAUUUAUUUUUUAAGUGAAGAAACUUAUAUAAAAUUAAAGGACAAGAAGACCCUAUCGAGCUUGAAGUGUAUUAUAAAAUAUUAUAUUAUAUCUAUUUGGUUGGGGCAACCGGGGAAUUAACUUCCACGAGUAAUAGCAAGAUGUAGUGGGGAAAGAAAUUUUUGUGAAAGAUAAAGUUACCGUAGGGAUAACAGCGUUAUUUUUUUUAGAGUUCAUAUUGGAAAAAAAGAUUGCGACCUCGAUGUUGGAUUAAAGAAACCUUAAGGAGUAGAAGUUUUAUGGGGUAGUCUGUUCGACUAUUAAAUCUUUACAUGAUCUGAGUUCAGACCGGCGUAAGCCAGGUUGGUUUCUAUCCUUGAUUAAAAGGAUUAUAUAAUGUAGUACGAAAGGAUCCUUUAUAGUUUUU
rnacentral:rRNA from 1 species